rnacentral:snoRNA from 1 species
UUGCAGCCUAUUAAGCCGACCAUCCUCCUUCCUGUGGGAGCUGGUGUGCAAUGGCUGCAAACAGCAAGCCUCGUGGGUAGUGUAUGCAGCCUAUUGGUAUGUAUAGGCUGCCCUAAGGGACCUUGGAGACAACC